CUAGCAGACCAGCAAGUAACUUUAGCUGUGAUCUUCUCAAUAAUUGGGAGAUAAUGACCAACAGAUAGCUUUUUAGAAUCAAGGGGGAUUCCCAGAUAUCUGAAAGGUAGUUUACCUUCAGUGAAUCCCAGUUCUUCCAGAAUCAGAACCUUAUCAUCCAGUGUAGUGCCAGCUAUAUACAGUGCACUCCUUGACAGACACCAAAUCAGCUCUACAAAACAUCCGUAGGUCAUCAGCAAAGCACACAUGUGUACAGUUAAGCUUCCUGCACUUAGGGUGAAAAUUGAAGUCACCAUUUCUGUGCAGUUUCUCCAUAAUCCUGUUGAGAUAUUCCAUUGCCAAUACAAAAAGGUAGGGUGACAUAGGGUCACAUUGUCUAAUACCCCUUUUAGCUUUGAAAGGUUUUGUAAGUCC
rnacentral:lncRNA from 1 species